UGGGGAAUAUUGCACAAUGGGCGAAAGCCUGAUGCAGCAACGCCGCGUGAGGGACGACGGCCUUCGGGUUGUAAACCUCUUUUAGCAAGGAAGAAGCGAAAGUGACGGUACUUGCAGAAAAAGCGCCGGCUAACUACGUGCCAGCAGCCGCGGUAAUACGUAGGGCGCAAGCGUUAUCCGGAAUUAUUGGGCGUAAAGAGCUCGUAGGCGGUUUGUCGCGUCUGCUGUGAAAACCCGAGGCUCAACCUCGGGCCUGCAGUGGGUACGGGCAGAUUAGAGUGCGGUAGGGGAGAUUGGAACUCCUGGUGUAGCGGUGGAAUGCGCAGAUAUCAGGAAGAACACCGAUGGCGAAGGCAGAUCUCUGGGCCGUAACUGACGCUGAGGAGCGAAAGGGUGGGGAGCAAAACAGGCUUAGAUACCCUGGUAGUCCACCCCGUAAACGUUGGGAACUAGUUGUGGGGUCCAUUCCACGGAUUCCGUGACGCAGCUAACGCAUUAAGUUCCCUGCCUGGGGAGUACGGCCGCAAGGCUAAAACUUAAAUGAAUUGACGGGGUCAUAGCUGUUUCCU
rnacentral:rRNA from 1 species